GCUCUCCAGAAAGUAUUGAUCUCUGUUUACCCUUUCAGGUGACCAUUUCAGCCCAAUCUGGGCAUAUUUUACAAGCACCGUAUGAUACCGUUCAGGUUUAUGUGGCUGUUCAGUGUCCUUUUCAGCAGCUGUGACCCCAGAUCAGCUGAAAAGGAUUUUGAAAGAGAGAUAAAGGGCUCACCUCCCACAGUGGUUCCCCUGCAGAGGCACUACAGAUAGGAGGUUGAUCUCAACAAUCCUUUUUGCCUGUGAAUUUUUGCUUGUCUCUUCUCAAUCAGAGCUUAGCUGGAGGGGUGGUGGAAAAUUCCUCUGGAUUUCUAGAGAUGGAAAACUAUUGACUGCUGGGGACUGGCAGGAGAAGAGUAACAAGCAUCUGGGCAUGGAGAUGAAGACUCCUCUUGACAGCUCUGUUCCUCAGGUAGAACAGGCCUUUCUAUCAAAGCUCAUGUGUAUGUGAGACGUCUUUCUUGGAUGCUGCUUAGAACCUGAAAAAUCAACUCUCAGAGGGAAUUAGAGUCUUAAAAGCCAUGCCUUUUCCUGUUAUAUGUGCCUUUUGUUAGUAUUGCCUUGUCUUGUGUAGAGCUGCAGCUGUGCAUACACUCAGAACCAUGCAAAAUAAAAAUGAGACUGGACGACAAGUGUGGCUUUGCCCCCUGCACAGAGCAGUAGGGACCAAAUGUAUCAGACAUAACAGCAUCUAGUCUCCACGCUCCAUGAAGUUCUUCAGAAAUGACUGAAUAUGUUAUUCCUUGUCUUGUGCAGAUCCUGGCUACCUUCAAACUUUCACUGAAGCAAUUUGUUUUCAGUUCAGAAGGGACACGAGUCUCUGUGCAAUUCACCCAUUUUCCUCUUGGCUUAGGUGAAGCGAAAGAAGGACCCAUAACAAUUUUUGGUACUGGGAUCAGGACUUGAUUUCAAUCAGGGAUGUGAUUUAUUACCUCUAUCACUCCUACAUUAAGCUGUGU